rnacentral:lncRNA from 1 species
CUUAAUCAAACAUAACCAAUGUUUCCUCCCUAUAUUUUCAAGCCCCACCCCCAAGUUCCCACCCCACUCCCCAAAUUCCCACCUACCCUCUCAAAUGUCUGACCUGGAAUUGGACUGGAUCAGCCACGCUCCUGGGCCUCUGCACCUGCUUCCCAUGAUCUUCAGUGCUUCUCCAGGAAAUUCCCCUCCCUCUUGGCCCAGACCCCUUGUGCUCUCUGGGUGCUGCAUGGUCAGAGCCUCUGAGCAACAUCAUAUUCUGAUGCUGAAAGCCCUGACACACAGUACCUGCAACAAUAGUGGCCAAAGGCCUUGUGUGAUGGCAUAACCCAGCUCCUACUGAGCAGGGCUCAGUCUGACGUAAGCCUAUCUUGGCAGCAAACGUGGGAAGCAUUUCACUGAGAACAGGAUUGGUCUUCAAGGGUAGAAGGCAGGGAGCACUCUGGAAGAGAACCAUCAAGAUAGAAUUCUUCAUGUGAGGUGCCACAGAAGAGAUGGGGAGGAAUGGCCCAUGGCAGAAAGCCUGCAGAACAUGCCAGUCUUUUCUUACUGUAGUAAGGUUCCCAUGGGAGGGACGACAGCAGGACUGGUCCUGCAAAGCUCUGAAUACCUUUGCUACAUCGUGAUUAGAUGUCAUACUGGAAGGGAGAAGCAGAUCGGUCGCGCCUCCCUCCGCCUUCCUCUGCACCUCCAAGCCUGGUGCUGCCAGCUCGCCUGGGAUUAUUAACAAUCGCUACCCAGUCCUGUGGGCCGCUGGAGGAUGGACCUGGCUCUCCCAUGGUCCUCCAAGGAAGGAAUGCGGAGAGCGGGUGAAAAGCCCCCCCCACCCCCCAGGCAGACGGUCUCUCUCCGGCUUGGGGGUGGGGGUCGUGCAGCAAACUGCUUUCUCAUGCUGUCCUAUUAAACAUUGCAGCCACAUGCUCUUUGCAGCUUCUCUGAGGCUACUGCAGCAUCCCUGCCCCGCCCGUCAGCCCAUACAACAGAGCUUCACUGCAGCUUCGGAACCCUGUUCUCUUUCUUCCUCACUUCCUCGUUGCCAUGGAGACACACGUCAUUUACGUGCCGUGCGUCGCCUUGGAAACGGGGGAGCAUCCGCGGCGCCGCCGGGAGACCCGCCCCUGCCUCUCCAGCCGCACUCGCGGGCACUGCUGGUGGAUGGCUGGGGGGAGUCCCGAGACUGACGCGCUGCGGGUCCCCGUCUCGACCCCGAGCCCUCUGCGAGCGCCUCUGUGACCUGUGAGCACUCUUUGUCGGUGAUUGCCGGGAGGGCGGCGGGACAUAGGUACCACACUGGAGGCGAGCGGGCAAGCCACUUUUGCCCCCUGGGUAAGCCCGAAGAUCCUGGUCCCGGGACCCUAGACGGGUCUUCGUUCCAUCGACUCUUCUCAGCCCUCCUUGAUCCCGCCCGUGUCCUCUGCCUGGGGCCGCUCUCUUCACGUAGGCUCCCCGCCCCUCUAGGGAGCCUAGGUGUCCCUGGGCUCCACCCCGUCCCUCCCGGGACCUCUCCCCCUCCACACCCUUCCCCCACCCUGGAGGCCCGGCUGGACACGACCCAGAGCUGCCA